rnacentral:rRNA from 1 species
GACGGAGGAUGCAAGCGUUAUCCGGAAUGAUUGGGCGUAAAGCGUCCGCAGGUGGCAGUUCAAGUCUGCUGUCAAAGACCAGGGCUUAACUUCGGAAAGGCAGUGGAAACUGAACAGCUAGAGUAUGGUAGGGGCAGAGGGAAUUCCUGGUGUAGCGGUGAAAUGCGUAGAGAUCAGGAAGAACAUCGGUGGCGAAGGCGCUCUGCUGGACCAUAACUGACACUCAGGGACGAAAGCUAGGGGAGCGAAUGGG